rnacentral:misc_RNA from 1 species
GAUGAAGAACGCAGCGAAAUGCGAUAAGUAAUGUGAAUUGCAGAAUUCAGUGAAUCAUCGAAUCUUUGAACGCACCUUGCGCCCUUUGGCCAUUCCGAAGGGCAUGCCUGUUUGAGUAUCAUGAACACCUCAACUCUUUAUGGUUUUCCAUGAUGAGCUUGGACUCUGGGGGUUUUGCUGGCUCACAGUCGGCUCCUCUAAAAUGAAUCAGCUUACCAGUGUUUGGUGGGUAUCAUGGGUGUGAUAACUAUCUACGCUUGUGGUUUUUCCACCAGGUAACCUUCAGCAGUGGAGGUUCGCUGGAGCUCAUAGAUGUCUCUCCUCAGUGAGGACAGCGCUUUGAAUGUUUGAUCUCAAAUCAGGUAGGACUACCCGCUGAACUUAAGCAUAUCAAUAAGCGGAGGA